CGGGAAAUUGUCGUAACUUCCUGUAUUGUGUUGGUAUGGGUGAAGUUGGCGCGACAUUUCUGGGUGCAUUCUUUGGGAGUUCUUGGACAUUUUUACAUGCUAUAGAUAUACUGGGAGCUGCAAAGAUCCCUCAUGUUCUAUCUGAGAGCCUAUAGGCUAUAGCCUUGCAAAUCCAUCUGUGGGAGUGCGUAGACCUACCUGAUCAUGGAUGAAAUCAUAGAGAACAUGCGUGGUGACACCGGGCAUUCUGAUUCUGCAUCUGAAACCUUUGUGUACAACGAGGAAGAUUCAGUGGAUAUUUAUGCUGGCCUUCAGGAUAGUCCAGAGAAGAAUGGAGAUACAGGCAAGA